rnacentral:rRNA from 1 species
UGACCCCGAGACCGAUAGCGAACAAGUACCGUGAGGGAAAGUUGAAAAGCACUUUGAAGAGAGAGUUCAAGAGUACGUGAAACCGCUUAGUAGUAAACAGAGGGACUCUCGAAGUCGGCGGUGACGGUUCAGGGUGACGGCGGGGCGGCCUGGGGGCGUGGGAUCCGCAAGGACCCUGUCCCUUUGUCAGCUCUGUCGGCGCCUGCACUUCGUUGCCGCCAUACGCGAUGAACCGUUUCUGGCGGACCGAGGGCGUGGGUGAAGUUUGUUGGCCUCGGCUUUCAAGCCCCGCGUUCCUGGCUCUGUCGGGGACGGGUAGUAGAGCGAUCUCUUAUAGAGAGUGCCCUUGCUGGCACGGUUCGCAUCUCUAUCGCGAGUAGGUCGGCGGUCCCUCUGACCCGUCUUGAAACACGGACCAAGGAGUUUAACAUGUGCGCGAGCCAUUGGGUGUUCGAAACCCAAAGGCGCAGUGAAAGCAAAGUCUGACUUGUCAGAUGAGGGGUGAUCCUUCACGGGCGCAACCCCGGAGCUUCGCAUCGACCUCGCUUCGUGCGGAGCAUCAAGAGCGUACACGUUGAGACCCGAAAGAUGGUGAACUAUGCCUGGCCAGGUUGAAGUCAGGGGAAACCCUGAUGGAGGACCGUAGCGAUUCUGACGUGCAAAUCGAUCGUCGGAGCUGGGUAUAGGGGCGAAAGACUAAUCGAACCAUCUAGUAGCUGGUUCCUUCCGAAGUUUCCCUCAGGAUAGCUGGUGCUCGUAAUCGAGUUUCAUCCGGUAAAGCGAAUGAUUAGAAGUAUUGGGGGCGAAACGCCCUCAACUUAUUCUCAAACUUUAAAUGGGUGAGAAGCGGGACUUGCUUAAUUGAAGCCUCGCAACGAAUCGGAGUGCCUAGUGGGCCAUUUUUGGUAAGCAGAACUGGCGCUGUGGGAUGAACCGAACGUUGAGUUAAAGUGCCAAAGUGUGCGCUCAUCAGAUCCCAUGAAAGGUGUUGGUUGCUUAAGACAGCAGGACGGUGGCCAUGGAAGUCGGAAUCCGCUAAGGAGUGUGUAACAACUCACCUGCCGAAGCAACUAGCCCUGAAAAUGGAUGGCGCUAAAGCGCGCCACUUAUACUCAACCGUUGGAGCAGAGCCGGCUCUUUGCAGCCCUGACGCUCCAACGAGUAGGAAGGUCGCGUGGGUGGCGCCGAAGGCUUUUGGGUGUGAACCUGGCCGGAGCCGCCCACGGUGCAGAUCUUGGUGGUAGUAGCAAAUACUCCAGAGAGGCCCUGGAGGACCGAUGUGGAGAAGGGUUUCGUGUGAACAGCCGUUGAACACGAGUCAGUCGAUCCUAAGGCUUAGGGGAAACCUUAAUCAAGCGUGCGGCGUUUCGACUGUGAAACCGCAACUUGGCCGAAAGGGAAUUUGGUCCUUAUUCCAAAACCUGGCCGUGGAACCGUUUCGGAAUCUCGCAUUCCGUCGUGGCAACGCGACACGACUGGGAGACGCCCACCGAAGCUCUGGGAAGAGUUGUCUUUUCUGCAUAAGCCGCCGAGGCCCUGGAAUCCUCUCGCAGGGCGAACGGGUUUUGGUUUUGGCGAAGAUCCUCGCAGUUCUCGCGAGGACCACGAGUGGUCGGUGGGACCUUGAAAAUCCCAGGGAGAUUACGGCGGACUCACGCCAGCUCGUACCCAUAUCCGCAGCAGGUCUCCAAGGUGAACAGCCUCUGGUCGAUAGAAUAAUGUAGGUAAGGGAAGUCGGCAAAUUGGAUCCGUAACUUCGGGAUAAGGAUUGGCUCUGAGGGUUGGGGCGGUCGGGCUUUGCACAGGAAGCGGCUGCGUCCACCGGCGGGCCUGGGCAAGUCCCACGAGGGUCGAACCCGGUCCCGUUCACGGGCCUCCGUGGAUUGUCAUUGCUUUGCGGGCUCGGCUUCGCGGCCGAUGUCCCGUUCGGUCGUCAAUCAACAACCAACUCAGAACUGGCACGGACAAGGGGAAUCCGACUGUCUAAUUAAAACAAAGCAUUGCGAUGGUCAGAGAGUGAUGUUGACGCAAUGUGAUUUCUGCCCAGUGCUCUGAAUGUCAAAGUGAAGAGAUUCGUCCAAGCGCGGGUAAACGGCGGGAGUAACUAUGACUCUCUUAAGGUAGCCAAAUGCCUCGUCAUCUAAUUAGUGACGCGCAUGAAUGGAUUAACGAGAUUCCCACUGUCCCUAUCUACUAUCU